rnacentral:rRNA from 1 species
AGAGUUUGAUCCUGGCUCAGGAUGAACGCUAGCUACAGGCUUAACACAUGCAAGUCGAGGGGCAGCAUGAACUUAGCUUGCUAAGUUUGAUGGCGACCGGCGCACGGGUGAGUAACACGUAUCCAACCUGCCGAUGACUCGGGGAUAGCCUUUCGAAAGAAAGAUUAAUACCCGAUGGCAUAGUUCUUCCGCAUGGUGGAACUAUUAAAGAAUUUCGGUCAUCGAUGGGGAUGCGUUCCAUUAGGUUGUUGGCGGGGUAACGGCCCACCAAGCCUUCGAUGGAUAGGGGUUCUGAGAGGAAGGUCCCCCACAUUGGAACUGAGACACGGUCCAAACUCCUACGGGAGGCAGCAGUGAGGAAUAUUGGUCAAUGGACGAGAGUCUGAACCAGCCAAGUAGCGUGAAGGAUGACUGCCCUAUGGGUUGUAAACUUCUUUUAUACGGGAAUAAAGUGAGGCACGUGUGCCUUUUUGUAUGUACCGUAUGAAUAAGGAUCGGCUAACUCCGUGCCAGCAGCCGCGGUAAUACGGAGGAUCCGAGCGUUAUCCGGAUUUAUUGGGUUUAAAGGGAGCGUAGGCGGACGCUUAAGUCAGUUGUGAAAGUUUGCGGCUCAACCGUAAAAUUGCAGUUGAUACUGGGUGUCUUGAGUACAGUAGAGGCAGGCGGAAUUCGUGGUGUAGCGGUGAAAUGCUUAGAUAUCACGAAGAACUCCGAUUGCGAAGGCAGCUUACUGGACUGUAACUGACGCUGAUGCUCGAAAGUGUGGGUAUCAAACAGGAUUAGAUACCCUGGUAGUCCACACAGUAAACGAUGAAUACUCGCUGUUUGCGAUAUACAGUAAGCGGCCAAGCGAAAGCGUUAAGUAUUCCACCUGGGGAGUACGCCGGCAACGGUGAAACUCAAAGGAAUUGACGGGGGCCCGCACAAGCGGAGGAACAUGUGGUUUAA